UACGUAGGGUGCGAGCGUUAAUCGGAAUUACUGGGCGUAAAGCGUGCGCAGGCGGUUCGUGAUGUCUGAUGUGAAAGCCCCGGGCUCAACCUGGGAACUGCAUUGGAAACUAGCGGGCUCGAGUGUGGCAGAGGGGGGUGGAAUUCCACGUGUAGCAGUGAAAUGCGUAGAGAUGUGGAGGAACACCGAUGGCGAAGGCAGCCCCCUGGGCUAACACUGACGCUCAUGCACGAAAGCGUGGGGAGCAAACAGG
rnacentral:rRNA from 1 species